rnacentral:lncRNA from 1 species
GCUGAAAUAAUUAUUCGUGAUGUUUUUCAAAUUCUCUAAUUUUGUGGAAUGAACAUACAUCAAAGACUCAACCAAGAUUGUCAUCACCCUGGUUAAAGAUACCUGGCUCCCAGCUGGUGGUCAUUGAACACUCCAGGUUGCCACCCACAGUUAGAAAUAUAUUAUUAAUUUCUUUCUGUCAAUGGACAAAGUGCUUCCUGAUCCAGUUGGACUGAAAAAGGCUCCCCUUUGAGUCAGAAAUCCAACCGCAACAAGGUAUAGCAUCAUCAUAUAUAAGAAGAAUCUGGUAGUACUCAUGGGGAGGGAUGUACUGACUGCUUGCGGCUCAGAUGUCCCUGGACUGACUCAGUGGACUCCCCCUAUUUACAACAAAUGCCCUGUUACCUGCAGUGAACAGUCAAGGCCCAGAUAUGUGUAAUUUUGAACCCAACCCCGACAGCCAACAAUGACAAAAGGAAAUAGACAUAUGAUUAGCAAACCUGCUGGAGGAGACAAAGAUGAGGCUGGAUAAAGGUGAUGGUUUUUGGUUUUCACUAUGGCCUUAAUGCUGGACAGGUAAUCUAGGUUUUGUUUUACAGCAACUUGGUGUGGACUUCAGGCAAAGCAUUAAAUUCUCUUGGCCUUUAUUUCUUCAUUUGUAAAUAAAAGAUUUUGAUAAAAUAUUCCCGAAAUUCA